CCUACUUCCCAUCAGCCUUUCGAAGGCCUGCUUGCCUCCCAGAAUCCUUCACAGCUACAAGUGAAAGACAUCAGGGAAAAGACCCAAGGAUCCAAUCUGUCUGGCCUAGACUCUCAUUUGUACUUUUUCAAAGUGCUUCUUACAAGUUCCCUGUUGCCUCUGGAUAUGCACACAGGAUUGUGGAAGGACCUCGAAUUUGAUUAGGUAGAAAGAGUGGAACAGCAUGGGGGACCGACGACAGAGGUGGCUGAGUCCCCUCACAGGCCGGGUUGUACGCUCCAGCUCCUCUGAAGAAAGAAACCCCUGGCCCAGUGCCCGUCCCGCUUCCUGGGAGCCACCUCUGCUUUUGUAGUCAUUGCAGUGUGUCCACACUGCCUAUUCUUCCCCCAGGGCCACCUGCCAAGGGAGGAUCUGGUACAGCCUGGUUGAGAAUGUGAUGGGGUCCCUCCCGCUGUGUGAGCUGUCCCUGAGUGGUGGCAUGGCCGUGUCUACAAAGAUGCCAUACAAAUCACGGAGACGAGUGCAGCGGACAUUUGUGACCAACUGGACACACACAAGCAGCUGGCAGCACCUCUGGAACUAUUAAACACAAAC